UCGAAUGGAGUUUCCCCUUUACCCCUAACCUGACCCCAGCGUUAACCUAACCCUAACCCCAUCCACGAAGGGGGGGCGCGCUACUGGAAACAUCAUUUCAGCGGGAGGGAAACGCCAUUCGGAACCGGACCGGCUCAGGGUUGCCAGAUUGGGUGGUUUUACCGCCAAGUUGCUUUUGUUGAGGAAACCACCUUUGGAGCUGUAAAAUUAAAUCAGUGACAACAACAACAACAACACAAAGUGCUGUUUGGUGAACAACCUGCAGAUCUGCAAAAUAUGGCUUUUGGGAAAUAAAGUCAGAGCCAGAGUCGUUCGACAAUAAGAGCAAAAUAAAUCAGAACAGAAAACACUUUGGCAAACAUGGACUUACCUUUCCGAAGCUUCCUUUUCCUAUUGCCCUCAAGAUCUGGAAGUGGUCGAAGUUGACUGUGGGAAA